AACGCAUAUGGCACCUUUUGGUCUUUACUGAAAGGUAUGCCUGUUUGAGAAUCAUUUUAUCCCUUUGAUCCUUGUGAUCGCAGAUUGCCGAUCCCUUGGUCAAGACAUGGACCUUCAUCAUUGAUCGUCUUGAAUCUGCACGGAUUGUUCGUGAUAAAGAGGUGCACUUGUUGCGCUGUUGCUGUUGAUCGAUCAAUCCCCUUUACUUAAUGAUCUCAAAUCAGGCAAGACUACCCGCUGAACUUAA
rnacentral:misc_RNA from 1 species